rnacentral:piRNA from 1 species
UGGGACCUCACCUUUCCAUUGCCACUUUGC